GAUGAAGAACGCAGUGAAAUGCGAUAAGUAGUGUGAAUUGCAGAAUUCCGUGAAUCAUCGAAUCUUUGAACGCACCUUGCGCCCUUUGGCCAUUCCGAAGGGCAUGCCUGUUUGAGUAUCAUGAACACCUCAACUCUCAUGGCUUGCCAUGAUGAGCUUGGACUUUGGGGGUCUUGCUGGCCUGCGGCCAGCUCCUCUCAAAUGAAUUAGCUUUCCAGUGUUUGGUUGGCAUCACAGGUGUGAUAACUAUCUACGCUUGUGGUUUCCACCAGGUAACCUUCAGUAACAUGGGGGUUUGCUGGAGCUCAUAAAUGUCUCUCCUCAGUGGGGACAGCUCUUUGAACGUUUGAUCUCAAAUCAGGUAGGACUACCCGCUGAACUUAAGCAUAUCAAUAAGCGGAGGA
rnacentral:misc_RNA from 1 species